CGGCUAAGGGGACAACAAGGUUAACCAAAAUAGUAAGGAGGGAAUGAAGGCGAACAGUGAGGCAACCAAGGCGCCCAUCCUGAUCAUAAUCGUUCGAGUGGAGGGUCUAUUGCCCUUCACCACAACCAUCAUGGAUGCCCCUAUGCCUAGGAAGUCGACGUCCCCGACGUUCGAAAAGUACAAUGGAUCAACCGACCUGGUCGACCACCUUCGGUCCUUUGUGAACGCCAUGGC
rnacentral:lncRNA from 1 species